rnacentral:lncRNA from 10 species
GAGAGAUGCAAGGCAAAGUCAUGAGGUUCUCUGUACAGAGGGUCUCGCUUGGCCUUCUGUAGCCUUGUCUGAGCAGAAGUUCCAGGAGGAGGCUAUGGCUCUGGCUGCCACCACCGGUUGAGCUGGUCAGCAGGAAGUUUGACGUGCCAGAAAAACAAGGGAGGGAACAAGAAAGGCAUUUUUCCAACUUAUCCAGAUGCCUCGGAGCCUAGAGUUGAUUGGCUGAAGAGAACUGAUUUGAGUGAAGAAACAGAGGCAAAGGGAGCAUAAGCAAUUUUCCAAAGGCCAUACAACAUGUAAGUGGCUGAGCCAAGACUGAAAUCACCAGGUUCUUAACCACUAGGCCAUAUUGCAUUGGAGUGUUGCCUCCUGGAGUAAGACUAGGCUAAAAGCUUCAUAGAAACCUAAAGGAGUUAGAGAAGGAAGAUCUCUCAAUGGAAAUGCUAAGAAGAGACACAAGGAAAGACACAUCACUAAGGAGAGACCCAAGGAAAAUGGCUCUAUGACUACAGUCCAUUUAAAGAAUGAGGGCGUUCCUUCUACCAAGUUACAGGUGGAGAUGUGUUUACCUGCUGGAUACCAAUGCUUCUAGCAUCAGGGAGAAGUUGAGCCCUGGAGGAAACAUUGCCUCUAAGUUUGUGUUCUGGUGCUACAUACUGCAAAGCAAAGUAUCUACAACAACUGCAAUAAGCCACCCUGAUCAUUCUUCAACCUAAAGAUUUGCAACUCAUCCAAGUUCAACUGGUUGAAAGAGCCUGCCUCCUCACAGCAGUGCCUGAUUGACACUAUGAACUGAAAUACUAAAGGCACUUCUUCUUUCAGGAUAACUGAUUAAAUGUUCUGGCUGGUAAAGCAGGUCAUCACUCAACUGUUGUGGCUUUGGCAAGAUGCCACCAAAGCAGCCCAUCAUGGUUGGCAGAGAUGUAAAGGCCCCACAUAUUACAGAACACCCUUUGAUAUGCAGACUAAUUAAUAGAAGACCUAAGCCUUUCAAGGGACUUCUAUACCAUAGGAUGUUAGGAGACAUCAAGAACACAAAUGAAACUAAGAUUUUCAUACAGGGUUCAGGUUUUGUUACUUCAGAUCUAUAAUCUAAAGUUCUGUAAUCAUCACAUCACUCCAAGAACAAAAUUUGAUAGGCAAAAUUCUUCACACUCAUUUCAUGGAGAACCUUGAGGGUCCAGAGUGAGGCUUGAUGGCAAGCAGGAGCUCCCUGUCCCCUGUCUCCACCCAUGCAACCCCUAGCUCCCCCAUUGUUUUCACUCUAGAUUUGUGAAGUAUAACAACCUUAAAAUCUUAAGAUUUAAUCUUUAAAUAUUAAGAGAUUUGGGUUUCUGUAUCAACAAUCUUUAAAUAUUAAGAGAUUUUUCCGAAGAUUAAUGACUUUCCUAGAGUUGGCCUACAAAUUCACCACCUCAACUGGAUGACUUGCUUUGGAAUAAAUUUCUAACACCGCAAGUGAAUUGAAUAUUUUCUUCCUUUUUUAUGUAAUCUAAUAUAGUACAUUUUUAAAAAUUUAUAGGAUGUCCAGACACUUAUAGCUUAUCAUUCUAUGAUUCAAAAGAAUUUGGUAUAAUUGCAUUGAUAAGCUUACUGCCCUGGGCACCAAAGUAACCUAGAAUAUGGAGAAGUAGCUUUUGGUGACAUGCAUCUAUUUAUAUCUCUAGCAUUUACUAAUUAAUUAAUUUGUUUAACAAAUACACAUUCAGUACCAUUAUAUGUUUGGCAUUGUCAUAGAUGUUAGAAAAUCAAAUAUAAAAAAGAGGUAAUUUCUUCACAACACACGGAAAUAAGAGUAUCUCUAGGAAUUGUCUCUAGUUGAAAUUGUUUUCUCCUACCCACCUCUACGAUUCAUCAAUUUAGCUUUCCUUCACUGUAGUGACAGGUGUUUUAAUCUCACCUAACAAUAUGCCUGAUUAAGCUUCAACAUACACAGAGAGAGGCCUGAAAAACAUAACUUGGUCUCUAUGUCUAAGUUUAUGUUGUUAGUAAUAGUUAUAAGAGCCACAGCGAUGGCACCAUGGCGUUACCUUCUCUGAAGGCUUUCCCAGCUUUCCUAGCAAAGCUCUUUUCUCUUCCCUCUGGUUAAAAAAUAAAUAAAAAAAAAAUAAAGGUUUUUCCUUUAUUGUUAUUCUUAUGUGUCUGAUUUUAUCACAUUUAUUGUUUUGUUUUCUGAUUGUAUAAGUCAUACAUGCUCAUUUAGAAAACUUGGAAACUAUGGAAAAAGAGAAAUAAAAAAUAAAAUCCAC